UGGAUCACCUCCUAACAGGGAGACAACAAAAUGUUUAAUAUUAUUUUGUCACCUUAGGUCGAUCGGUAUCUCACGUUUUUAAUUUAUUAAGAAUUUCAUUUCCUAAGUUUUUCUAGGUCACACCCAUUAUUUUUCCUGGGCCAUUAGCUCAGGUGGUUAGAGCGCACCCCUGAUAAGGGUGAGGUCCCUGGUUCAAGUCCAGGAUGGCCCAUAUCUCUAUGUUGGGGGUAUAGCUCAGUUGGUAGAGCGCCUGCUUUGCAAGCAGGAUGUCAGCGGUUCGAGUCCGCUUACCUCCACUGAUUACCACCUCUUACAUAAUCGGUAGAUAGGAAAUGUUUUGAGUUGUGAUCAAAAUCUGAAAGAAUCUAGCUUCCUAAUGAAAUCAUUAAGAUGCUGGACUCAUUGAAUUAAUUUCAUUGUUUUCAGAGAACCUUGACAACUGCAUAGAUUAUUUUUAAAGACAAUAAGCAUCUUUAAAGAUGCAGAUUUAUUAUUUGUGCGAAUGCAUUAAUAACAAUUCUAUUAAGCUGAUGCUUCAAUUUUUGAAGUUAUUGGUCAAGCUACAAAGGGCUCACGGAGGAUACCUAGGCACACAGAGGCGAUGAAGG
rnacentral:tRNA from 1 species